UAAAAAAGAAAUGAAAGAGAAAAGACAAUGAAGUGGCAUCCUUUCCCCCCCCUCAUCUCGCAUUUCUUUGUUUUGUUUUCUUUUUUUUUCU
rnacentral:ribozyme from 15 species